GCCUAAAGCGUCCGUAGCCGGCUAUGUUAGUUUUCGGUUAAAUCCAUGUGCUCAACACAUGGGCUGUCGAGAAUACUGCAUAGCUAGGGAGUGGGAGAGGUAGACGGUACUCUGUAGGAAGGGGUAAAAUCCUUUGAUCUAUAGAUGACCACCAGUGGCGAAGGCGGUCUACCAGAACACGUCCGACGGUGAGGGAUGAAAGCUGGGGGAGCAAACCGGAUUAGAUACCCGGGUAGUCCCAGCUGUAAACUAUGCAAACUCAGUGAUGCAUUGGCUUGUGGCCAGUGCAGUGCCGCAGAGAAGUCGUUAAGUUUGCCGCCUGGGAAGUACGUACGCAAGUAUGAAACUUAAAGGAAUUGGCGGGGGAGCACCACAAGGGGUGAAGCCUGCGGUUCAAUUGGAGUCAACGCCAGAAAUCUUACCCGGAGAGACAGCAGAAUGAAGGUCAAGCUGAAGACUUUACCAGACAAGCUGAGAAGUGGUGCAUGGCCGUCGCCAGCUCGUGCCGUGAGGUGUCCUGUUAAGUCAGGUAACGAGCGAGAUCCCUGCCUCUAGUUGCCACCAUUACUCUCAGGAGUAGUGGGGCGAAUUAGCGGGACUGCCGCAGUUAAUGCGGAGGAAGGAGGGGGCCACGGCAGGUCAGUAUGCCCCGAA
rnacentral:rRNA from 1 species